AAAACGAUGUAACAGCUCACAAGAACGAGUUUGAAGUCGUCGACUACUUGAGGCGCGGUUACAAUAACGUGCUAGGCAAGUUGGGCAAGCGUGACAAAAUGAUCGACAUGGAGAACGCUCUCAAGCUGGCUAAAGCAAACAGUGACGGUACUUACCCGUUUGAGGAAAUUCGAGAGACCAUGAAGACGUGCAACUUCUCGGACGGCGAGGUGGACCUGUUCUUCGAGCAUUACGACCUACACAAGCAGGACGCACUGGAUGAGAGUACGCGGCGUCUGAGGGACGAGCAAGGGAACCAGAAUCCACCACUGGA